rnacentral:misc_RNA from 1 species
GAUGUUCUUGCUAAGCUUGGCUAAAAGAAUUCUUGUAUUUUAUUGUAAGCUUUGUCAAUCACUUUCUUUCGGUUGCUAUUUGAAAGGUGUAAAGUUGGAGGAGAAUAUAAUUGACAUGCAUCUUGCUGUUGUUUCUAUGGAGCAGAAAUUUGUGUAUAUAUUUAAUUACCAAAUGAAGCAAAACACAAGAAGUAAUUUGGGUAUAUUUAAUUGCCAAACGAUGCAUUCUUACUCCAUAACAAUCUUUCAUGAAGUAAUUUAAUUUUCAACAACAAUAUGUAGUGAAAAAUCCCCACAUAAUCACAAUUCUGAGAGAAGAAUUACAAUGAACAUUCCUGGUCGCAUACUGCUAACAUUCAUUAAGCUGGUUAGAAUCAUAUAACAACGCUAGCUCUGUUGGUUGCAGGGGAAUGGUAUCUCGUAGGUGAUAUUGCUAAAACACUUCUCUCUGCAAAGAGAACUUCAACUUAUCAGAUUCAGCACGAUGUAAUAUAAGAUGAUGUCUCUAUUUGGAUUUCUCGACACGUUUGAG